CAGUGCUGUAUACCCCUAGUACAGUUUGUGUUUAGCCAUUCAUAGUGUAACACCCUGCCUGGCUUUCACCUACUCCUGACCUGUAAUUUACCCGGAAGAAAGCAAUUACCUUCACCAUAGCAACCACCAAGCGGCAGCCUAACUUUCUCCCUGUGUUCGAUGCCGAUAUCCGAUACAGCACUGCAACAACGGGAUCACCACACUGCAACAACGGGAUCACCACACUGCAACAACGGGAUCAUCACACUGCAACA